UUUAGAAAUGGAGAAAUAAGUCAGAUGUUCUGCAGCAGAAAUACUAAGACUAGGUUUAAAAACUUGAUCUAAUAACGAGGAAUAUGUCAAAAUGAUCAAAUAUAAUAAGAUGAAUAAAUACGCCCAAACUCGUAGGAACAUCAAGAUGAAAAAGAGUUUAUCUAAUGACGUUUCUGGUUUUUGUAGGAGGUCUUGGUGAAGUUUCCUUUACAGCUGCUUCAGUCUGCAGACACAGCGGCCCAGCGCAGGAGAGGUUCUCUUAUGUGGACAUCUUACUGUGGGACAUGAACAACCACACAUCUACACACUUACAGCUGGAACAAGUAACACACACACACACAGAGACACACAUCUACACACUUACAGCUCUAACAAGUAACACACACACACACAGAGACACACAUCUACACACUUACUGCUGGAACAAGUAACACACACAUACACAGAGACACACAUCUACACACUUACAGCUGGAACAAGUAACACACACAUACACAGAGACACACAUCUACACACUUACAGCUGGAACAAGUAACACACACAUACACAGAGACACACAUCUACACACUUACAGCUCUAACAAGUAACACACACAUACACAGAGACACACAUCUACACACUUACAACUGGAACAAGUAACACACACAUACACAGAGACACAUCUACACACUUACAGCUGGAACAAGUAACACACACAUACACAGAGACACACAUCUACACACUUACAACUGGAACAAGUAACACACACAUACACAGAGACAUCUACACACUUACAGCUCUAACAAGUAACACACAUACACAGAGACACACAUCUACACACUUACAACUGGAACAAGUAACACACACAUACACAGAGACAUCUACACACUUACAGCUCUAACAAGUAACACACAUACACAGAGACACACAUCUACACACUUACAACUGGAACAAGUAACACACACAGAGACACACAUCUACACACAACUGGAACAAGUAACACACACAUACACCCUCUCCUUGUCUGUCUCCUUGUCUCUCCCUCUCCUUGUCCCUCUCCUUGUUCCUCUCCCUCUCCUUGUCUAACCAUGGCAGUUUUACCUGCCUUUGGAGCUAAUUAAACCACUUAAUGUUACACGGGCUGAAACUAUAUAACGAGAGUCCCUGUUGAAGGGAAGAGCCUUUUGCCUUUUUCUCGUGAAAAGCUAGAGCGUUUUAUCUUAUCCGCGCUGCCGCCGGUUCUAUGUUUUCCUCCAUAGUCACACCAGGGGCUAAUGGUUCACAUAGACAGGGCGUAGGAUCUGCA
ensembl:lncRNA